UACGUAGGGGGCUAGCGUUGUCCGGAAUCAUUGGGCGUAAAGCGCGCGUAGGCGGCCAGAUAAGUCCGGUGUGAAAGCCACAGGCUCAACCUGUGAAUGCCGCUGGAAACUGUCUGGCUAGAGUCCGGGAGGGGCGAGUGGAAUUCCUGGUGGUAGCGGUGAAAUGCGCAGAUAUCAGGAGGAACACCAAUGGCGAAGGCAGCUCGCUGGAACGGAACUGACGCUGAGGCGCGAAAGCGUGGGGAGCGAGCAGG
rnacentral:rRNA from 1 species